CUUAUCUCGAAGGUGGACUGAACAGAACUAUGUGACCUUGCUUCUAGUCGUGACCGGAGGACGUGCAGUCUGCCGUUGACUCGUCGGAGGAAGGCGAAGAAGAUGGUGGCUGCGGUGAGUCCACCUUGGUGGUCGGAGAUCGAUGACGGAGGAAAGAGUCUUCCAGAUCCAGUUUCUCUCUCCUCCAUCUCUCUCUAUGGAAAGGAGACCUUGGUUGGAUUGCAUUCUAACAAAUUGGAAUCACCCGAGCUGAAGACCCGCAUUGAGGCUUUGACAGAAAAACAGGGCCAACUCAAGGUCCUGGAAACAAAAUCUUUUUGAGGAGAGAGCUGCACUGAAAGCUAAACAAAAGCGUUUGCAAGAAGAGAGGCAUAACUUUAGGCUUUAUACACUGAAAAAUAAUGAAGUGCUUGCUAAGGAGAUCACAGAGCAUGAUAAAGAGGCUUUCAUGAGCUUUGAUGUGUUUGUUGACAGGCCGCAGACGUCCUAAGUCAGAUGCACCGGGGUUAUGACAUUUUGUAAGGAAGUACAGCUUUUUGAAACAAUGAUUUCGAUGAAUUGGUUAAUUGUGAAUUUUGCUCAGUCUAAUCACAGCUAACUACUCACGAGACAGCAUAUUAGAGUGCACUAGAUUCAGCCUUUAUUUAUGUCUAGGACUUGUGAAGUUGUAAUUGAGAGUGCAGGGAAGGAAUCUAACAUAAUUAGAGUCUAUAGAGAUGAAAAAGGCCAACGUUGAUUAGAGAAUGCUUGAAUAAGAAUAACAUAGAUUGAGUAUAAACAAA